AGAGGUGUUCCGCCCAGCAGCCCCGGCGGCCGCCGCCCGCCGUCGCGGCGGGCGACCUGGUGCGUGCAGCGAUGAGAUUCACUGGGCUCGACACUGCAUUCAGCCGGCGGUUAGGAAGCCUCACGUCCUCCCUAGCGCCGCUACGGCCUCCACCAUGCUACACCUUAACGGAUAUAUACGCCCUUUCUUGCUCGCCGGCAUCUCUGCUCCGGCGGAUGCCGGCCGUGUAGUGGCGGCUCCAUGCAUCCGAGAUCCGCCAUUUCCUUGGAAAUUUGGACAUCGUCAAGCAUAUAUCAUCACAAGGAAGAUUUCCUUUUGAGAGAAAAGUGGUUCUUAUAUGCAGGGAUGCCACUUUGUACACUCCUUAUAUUCACCUUCAGCAGGCUCUACUACUGCUCCAGCAUAAGGAUAUCUGGCUGAUGAUGCGAGCUUAUUAUUCUCAAUGCCGAUAAAGUAACGCAAAGCUGCUAGACCCAAACAAUUCUAGCUAAGUUGUUGAGUAACAUGUGUCUCUGAGUCACAGCAAUUCCAUUUAUCUGUUCAUGUCAAUAGUGAAGGAGCCUAUAUGUUGCAGAACAAAAUGGAAAACAGAAAUCCAAUUUCCUGUUAACCGUUUAACAAGCUCAUAUCCAGUAACUGCCCUUGAAACAUGAAUUUCUUG